GUGUCAGCCGCCGCGGUAAGACGGAGGGUGCAAGCGUUGCUCGGAAUCACUGGGCGUAAAGGGCAUGUAGGCGGUCCGUUAAGUGGGAUGUGAAAGCCCUCGGCUCAACCGAGGAAUUGCGUUCCAAACUGGCGGACUCGAGGACGGUAGGGGACAGUGGAACUCCAGGUGGAGCGGUGAAAUGCGUAGAGAUCUGGAGGAACGCCGGUGGCGAAAGCGACUGUCUGGGCCGUUCCUGACGCUGAGGUGCGAAAGCCAGGGGAGCAAACGGGAUUAGAUACCCCGGUAGUCCUGGCCGUAAACGAUGGGCACUAGCUUGGGGGGCCUUCGGGCUUCCCUUGCGUAGCUAACGCGUUAAGUGCCCCGCCUGGGGAGUAUGCGCGCAAGCGUAAAACUUAAAUGAAUUGACGGGG
rnacentral:rRNA from 1 species